rnacentral:rRNA from 1 species
UACGGAGGGUGCUAGCGUUGUUCGGAAUUACUGGGCGUAAAGCGCGUGUAGGCGGUUUCGGAAGUCGGGUGUGAAAGCCCUGGGCUCAACCCAGGAAGUGCGCCCGAAACCACGAAACUUGAGGUCCGGAGGGGAUCGGGGAAUUCCCAGUGUAGAGGUGAAAUUCGUAGAUAUUGGGAAGAACACCGGCGGCGAAGGCGCCGAUCUGGACGGAUUCUGACGCUGAGACGCGAAAGCGUGGGUAGCAAACAGG